AUGGCCUGGGCUCCGCUCAUCCUCAUGUUCCUCUCUCACUGCACAGGUUCCCUGUCCCAGCCUGUGCUGACCCAGCCGCCCUCCCUCUCUGCAUCUCCUGGAGCCUCUGUCAGACUCACCUGCACCUUGAGCAGUGGCUUCAGUGUUGGUAACUUCUGGAUACACUGGCACCAGCAGAAGCCAGGGAGCCCUCCCCGGUACCUGCUGUACUACCACUCAGACGCAGAUAAGCACCAGGGCUCCAGGGUCCCCAGCCGCUUCUCUGGUUCCAAAGAUGCCUCGGCCAACGCAGGGAUCCUGCACAUCUCUGGGCUGCAGCCUGAGGACGAGGCUGACUACUACUGUCUUACAUGGCAUGGCAGCUCUAGGACUUGUAUAGUGCUACGGAGGAUCCUGCCCUGUGCUCACAGGUCUCUGGACUUCGCCCUGCUGGUCCAGCCUCCUGCAGGGUCCAGGCCACCAGGACAGAAAACCAUCUACUGCUCUGGAAGACAUAACAGUACUGGGCUCUGUGCCGGCAGUGAUGUGAACCCUGUGCCCUUCCAGGGGCCUGCACUCAGUCUGUGCUCACUCAGCUUCCCCAUCAUCUGA